rnacentral:rRNA from 1 species
CGGGGUGCAGCAGGCGCGAAACCUCUGCAAUAGGCGAAAGCCUGACAGGGUUACUCUGAGUGAUUCCCGCUAAGGGGAUCUUUUGGCACCUCUAAAAAUGGUGCAGAAUAAGGGGUGGGCAAGCCUGGUGUCAGCCGCCGCGGUAAUACCAGCACCCCGAGUGGUCGGGACGAUUAUUGGGCCUAAAGCAUCCGUAGCCGGCCACGCAAGUCCUCCGUUAAAUCCACCCGCUCAACGGUUGGGCUGCGGAGGAUACUACGUGGCUAGGAGGCGGGAGAGGCAAGCGGUACUCAAUGGGUAGGGGUAAAAUCCUUUGAUCCAUUGAAGACCACCAGUGGCGAAGGCGGCUUGCCAGAACGCGCUUGACGGUGAGGGAUGAAAGCUGGGGGAGCAAACCGGAUUAGAUACCCGGGUAGUCCCAGCUGUAAACGAUGCAGACUCGGUGAUGGGAUGGCCUCGAGCCAUCCCAGUGCCGCAGGGAAGCCGUUAAGUCUGCCGCCUGGGGAGUACGGUCGCAAGACUGAAACUUAAAGGAAUUGGC